UGUUAGCCUAAUGGUUAGUGCAUUGGACUCUGGGUCGAGCGGUCCGGGUUCAAGCCCUGGCCGUGGUCAG